GACAUUGUAUCCAAGUGGUUACGGAGAUUGACUUGAAUUGUAUAUUCAUCGUAUCAAUUGGGCUUCGCCCGCGCAGGUUCAAAUCCUGUCAAUGUCG